rnacentral:rRNA from 1 species
GCCCAACUGGCCCGGCAGAUUGUGGAGGUACACGUGGCAACACAAAGCCUCACACGUGACGCUUCGGGGUAGGUCGAACAGGGUUGUCGCCCUGUUUAACUGUCAAAGCCUGGGGAGUACCGUAAUGGUGAGAACCAGGCGAAACCAGGAAUAGCCCCCCGUUUAGGGGGGUUCGAUCGAUCCCUGGAGCCCAUGAAAAGCGUGUGAGGAUGGAUCCUCCGCAUCCGUACCCAGAACCAACACAGGUGCCCAGGGUGAGUAGCCCAAGGCGUGUCGGAAACACUCUAGGCGAGGGAAUUCGGCAAAUUAGCCCUGUAUCUUUGGUAUAAGGGGUGCCUACUGUUUUCGCGUAAGCGGGAAUGGUAGGUCGCAGUGACAAGGGGGUUCCGGCUGUUUACUAAAAACAUAGGUAGCCGCUAGAGCGAAAGCUUUCGUACGGCUAUUGAAUCCUGUCCAGUGGUGGUACCUGAAUCCUGAUUACAACCGGGGGAAGGGCCGCUAAACGACGGGAGUAACUCUGACUCUCUCAAGGUAGCCAAAUGCCUUGUCGUGUAAGUUACGACGUGCAUGAAUGGAUCCACGAGGACCCCACUGUCCCCGCCUAGAUCCCGGUGAACCCACAGGCUGGACGAACAGUCCAGCGACCUCCAGCGGGACAAGAAGACCCCGUGGAGCUUUACUGCAGUCUGUCGCUGAGACGUGGCCUUACUUGCAGAGCGUAGGUAGGAGCCGAUGAGCACCCCUCUCCGGGGGGGUGGGAGGCACCAAUGUAACACUACCCUUGUAAGGCUGCUUCUCUGACCGAGGCCUAGUUGUCCGGGACAACGGCAGAUGGGCAGUUUGGCUGGGGCGGCACCCCCUUGAAAAGGAAUCGAGGGGGCCCAAAGGCUAGCUCAGGGGGGACAGAAACCCUCCGUAGAGUGUAAAGGCAAAAGCUAGCCUGACCGGAUCUCCAACAAUACGAGUUCCGGAGGUGAAAGCCAGGCUUAACGAGCUAUCGUAUCCUUAUUAAUGAGGGUCGGUAGUGUCAGAAAAGUUACCCCGGGGAUAACAGGCUUGUCGCGGGCGAGAGUUCGCAUCGACCUCGCGGUUCGGUACCUCGAUGUCGGCUCUUCCUAUCCUGGCCUUGCAUGAGGGGCCAAGGGUGAGGCUGCUCGCCUAUUAAAAGGGAUCGUGAGCUGGGUUUAGACCGUCGUGAGACAGGUCGGAUUUUAUCUGUUGGGGGUGUUGGUUGUCUGAGGGGAAAGGGUCUUUAGUACGAGAGGAACGAGACGCUGAGGCCUCUGGUGUACCGGUUGUCCGACAGGGCAGGCCGGGCAGCUACGCCUCUUCGGAUAAGAGCUGAAUGCAUCUAAGCUCGAAGCCGGCCCUGAAAAUAGACAGCCUUCCCGUACUUGGUGGCUUUGCCAUCGAGACGGGUGGAGAGCGCCCGUAAAAGACGGGUUUGAUGGAACCGGGGUGUAAGUAUCAAGGCUUUGGCCGAGAUAUUCAGCCCGCGGUCCCCAAUUGCUCGAUUUAUCAGU